UAAUACGAAGGGGGCUAGCGUUGUUCGGAAUUACUGGGCGUAAAGGGCGCGUAGGCGGCCAUUCAAGUUAGGCGUGAAAGCCCUGGGCUCAACCUAGGAAUUGCGCUUGAUACUGUUUGGCUUGAGUUCGGGAGAGGUGAGUGGAAUUCCCAGUGUAGAGGUGAAAUUCGUAGAUAUUGGGAAGAACACCAGUGGCGAAGGCGGCUCACUGGACCGACACUGACGCUGAGGCGCGAAAGCGUGGGGAGCAAACAGGAUUAGAUACCCUGGUAGUCCACGCCGUAAACGAUGUGUGCUAGACGCUGGGAAACAUAGUUUUUCGGUGUCGCAGCUAACGCUUUAAGCACACCGCCUGGGGAGUACGGUCGCAAGAUUA
rnacentral:rRNA from 1 species